rnacentral:lncRNA from 1 species
UGGAGGAAAGCUUCUUGUUAUAACUGAGAAUUCCUAAGUGGCAACAUUUCUCAGCUCUGAACUCUGGGUUGCAUCUCAAGCUAACAGCAGCUCACCUACCAAGUCCCACCCAGGUCACCUAGGCUAACACCUCAUUCUCUUCCUCAUUCCUGUUUCUUCUAUGUCUAAGUCCUUGAAGCUACAGGAAGAUGAAAGCAAUAGAUGACACCUGGAAGAUUUAGGGAUACAUUAACAGAUUUCCAUUUUAUAGCAUUUGAAAUGUCUUUAUGUCUGUGUGCGUGCGUGCGUGCGUGCGUGCGUGGGUGUGUGUGUGUGUGUGUGUUUGCACUGUGUGGAGGGCAAAGGUCAACCUCAGACGUUUCUCAGGUGGCGUCUACUUUAAUUAAUUAGUUGAUUAGUUAAUUAAUUAAUGAGACAGGGUCUCUCACUGGCCCAGAGCUCUCAGCUGGGUUAGGCUGACUGGCCAGUAAAUUUAAUUAAUCCACCUGCCUCAGCCUCUACAGUUCUUGGAUUACAAGUCAUGUAUUCCCUACUGCACCUGACUUGGCAUUUGAUAUUUCUGUGACAGGCACUAUUGC